CUUAUGCAAUACACAUCCCUACUAAAGAUUCGUACAUUUUACUUCAUAGCAUGUGUAACCUUGAUUGUUUUCAUUUCUAGGAACUGUAAUGUGCGUACUUCGCAGUCGUCAUUCCUCUUGAUGAAACAAAGCUUUCCGGAGCUUCUAAUCUUGGAUUAAAAUUGCACAGUUGACUAUUCAAUGUAUAUUAGACUGAGCAUGUGCAACACAAAGAAAUCUCAGGAAACGGGAGAGCAAAUAAUGCGGAUGAAAUGUACUGCGAUCUGGUCCCAUCAACUGCCAACUAAUCAGUUGUUCCUGUCCUAAAGGAUGAAAAUGUGCAACAGUAAAACGAGCAAAACCCUGAUGAGUGAGGGUUUGAAAAAACAUAUGAGAUUGAUUCGGUCGAAACUGCGAUUAAAUCUGCACGAGCAAUGUUUAGAUGUAGAAUGUAGG